CCAUCUUUGUUCUGUUUUAAGUUUUAGAAAAAAAACAAAUUUAGGGUAAUAUUUUGCCUUUCCCUUUGAAGCAGAAACUGUUUCUUUUAGGGUUUCCUUAACCCUUUGGCCGCCGUUCAGCCCGCGCCCCGAUUCUGACGGAGGGGACACCAGCUCAACCACUCCGGCGAAAGGUAAGUCUCCCUUUUUCUUUCUUUUUUGUAUUUUAAAGAAAAGAAAUAAAAGAUAAUAAUUAAAUAAAACAAAAUAAAAUGUAAGAACAAAACCCUCAAAAAUCCAACUGAAAGGUAAUCACCUCUCUUUAUAUAUUCUUUUUUCCAUCCCUCCCCCAUUAACAAAAUAACAGUGGCUUUAUAUAGCCCGAAAACUGUUUGUUGCUUUUUUAUUUUACACUAUAUUUUUGCAGAUGGACUCUCUAAGUACGUGUUUGCAUGCGAGAGUGGAGCAAAUGGCGCGCGUGGAGAGGUCGGCCCCGAGACGUGCGUCACUUGGGGAGGCUGCGGUGCUCACUUGCUGCUACUAGGGUUUGUUUUUAGUGCUGGGUUAGAUUUAGGGUAACUUGGUUUGGGCUAUGUCAAUGGGUUAUUGGGCCGUGUAAAAUGUAGGCCUGUUUAUUGUAUUUUUCUGUUUUGGUUUAGGGCUAAUUGGGCCUGCUACACAUGAGACAGAAAUAUCAGAUUGAUUCAAAUCCUUUAUGUGAAUGAUAAGUAUUAGAUUUACAUCUGUUUGGACGACACAUAAUAAUUGAAUAAAAGUGUAAUUAUUAUGGUAAUUUUUACAAGAUAGUAAUUACAAAGAAUUGUAAUUCCCUAGACGUGUUUGGCUGGCAAAAUGUAAUUACAUCGUAAUUCCCUCUGUUAUGCUUGUUAAUAUAAAUUGUAAUGAUACAAUUAUAUCAUUUAUAUUUUAAGGAUAUUAAUCAAUAUAAAAUUUUAUUAGUAUAAUAAAAUUAAUUACUAAACAAGUAACAAAAAAUAAAAUCAAAUCAUCAUAUGUAUUAUGUUAGUCUAAAAAAGUAGUAGAUAAUACGAUUACUAAUAAAAAUAGCAAGAAAAAUAAACAUCAUAUGUAAUUUUAUCUAAUUGUUCUAGUGCAUAUUUGUUGGGUUAUUCUCUCUUUAAUAUUUAAUGCAUGUUCCUUGUCAUCAUUUCAAUUUGAACAUGCAUCAUUAAGAUUAUCGAGAUCUCUUUCUUCCAUAUACUCUACGAAGAAUAGGUCAUCUCAAUUUCACCUAGGAUUGAAAUUAUGAAUAUGCAACAUGCUAGUAUAGUCUAACCUUUUCUAAAUGUGCCUUAUUUUUAACCUGUACUAAUUUUAACGUGCCUAUAUUUUUAUCCAAACCCUCUCACUUUACGGGUGAGUCUUCGGGCCGAGUUGGGUAGCCCAACCUAUAGAUAAGUCUAUAGGUGACUAAAACAAAAAUGAACGAUAAUAUUAGUGACAAAAUUGAAAGUUUUUAUAAUUUAAUAAUUAAAACAAAAAUACGUUAAUAAUUGAGUAAGUGAUUACAUAAUUAUCAUUCCUAUGCAUAAAAUCUAUAGAAGAGAGGCAUGCUUUUUUUGUAGUCUUCCCCUUUAACUAGACAAAGCAAAGUGAUCUGUCCUUGAAAUUAAGCAAAGCACAAUACUUUUAACUUUUUUUUUUACUUUAGCAUCUCAAGCUUUCAAGUUACUCUUGCGUAUACCUUUCUUGCUAGAAUUUAUGGUAAUAUGCCUUGUUUUUAAUUAAUUAUUCUUAAUUUAAUUAUCUUUCUUCUCCAUAAAUUUCUUACUUUUUUUAAUAAUUAUUAUGUUUUCCAAUAAAAAUAUUAUAUAUGUGAUGCAUUAAAAAAUUAAUUAUGAUAUAAAAAUUAAGAUUAAAGGGUGUUUGAAGCACCUAAACUUUUUUACAAAAAAUUAUUUAAGCUCUUUUUUUUUUUGCACUCUAUUGAGCCUUUGAAUAUUAAAAUUUUAAUUAAUUAAGUUUUUUAACUGUUAAAGUUUACGGUCAACUGUUAAAGAGUAAAGACGGCGAUUUUGAGGCUUGUUUUUAUCACAUAGCACACUAUGAUUGUGCUAUAUGGUGAAAUUUGACAUUUUAUAUUAAAAAUCAUAAAAAUUAUAAAAAAUAUAUAUAUACAAAUUGUAAACAUAUAUAAAAGUGAAAAAUUACAAAAAAAAUUAUAUAAAUGACAAAAAAAUGUUAAAUUUAUUAAAAUUUGAAAAAUUUAAAAAGUAUUAAAAUUUAAAAUUAAAACUAUAAAAAUUAUGAAAAUUGUUUAAAAUAUAGAAAAUUAUUUGAAAUAUUAUAAAAUAUAGAAAGUGAAAAAAUUAUAAAAAAAAAGUUUAAAAAUAAGAUGAACUACAAAAAGGGUAUACCAAAAUAGUCACUUUUGUUUACCUCAGGUUAUGUAUUAGUCACUUACGUUAACGUGUUGUAACAUUUUAGACAUUGAGCCGUUAAUUGUCAUUAACGGUGUAAUGGUAAGCUGACGUGGCAUGCUAAAUUGUCAUUUCAAACAAAAAAAUUUUGGCUAAAUUUUACAAUUGGUCCCUAUAUUUUUUUUGUUUUGAGCAAUUUAAUUUUUUCAUUUUGGUCCCAUAAAAAAGUUUUAACAUAUGGAAAACAUAGAAAAACUACAUGUUAAAAGAAAUGAAGAAGAAAAUAACAAUAAUAACAAAAUCAUGAAAUAGGAUAUUUUAAUUGUUAAACCAUUUAAUUGUUAAAGUUAACGGACAACUGUUAAAAGAGUAACAAUAGCUAUUUUUAGAGGUUGUUUUCAUGAUGUGGCACAUCAGGAUUGUGCCAUGCAGUGAAAUAGGAUAUUUUAUAUAAAAAAUCAUAUAAAUAUCUUCAAAUUAAAAAUAUUAUAAAUGGAAUAAAACAUAAAAAUUAUUAAAAAUUGAAACUUUUUUAAAUAAAGAUUAAGAAAACAUAAAUAUAUACAAAUUACAAAAAAUAAAAAUUGGAAAAUUAUGGAAAAUAUUAAAAAUAUAGAAAAUUAUUAAAAUUGUUAAUAAAAUUUUAAAACUAUUAUAAAAAGCAUAAAUUUGUUAAUAAAAUAAUUAAGUUAUUAGUAUAAAUAAUGAGAUUUUUUUUUACUAUUUUUCAAGUUCGAUUUAUUGUUCAUGUUCUGGGUCUGUGACUACCUCUCUUAAUAAUAUCACCUUCAAGAUUCAAAUCUACGUUCUUCGCUUAAAAGUGUAAUGUGUCUUAUCAUAGUACCCAACACUUAUUGGUAUGAUAUACUUAAACUACUAAUUGUAAUUCUAUACUAAAAAUAUAUAUAUUUAUUUUGGAUUUGAAUGAUUCGAUUUACAUUUUUUAAAAAUUGUUUUAAAUUUUUUAACUUACUAGAUUUAUAUAUUAAUCAUAUUUGGAUAUGUAACGCCCUGAAUAAUUUAUUUUUUUUCUGUAAAUACUUGACAUAAUUGUGUAUUUGUUUUAGUGGUUAAGUGUUUUGGGUGUGUGUAUGGGGUCUUAGGUCCAAGUCCCACUUUAGGUAAAUUUUGUUAUUUAUUUAAUCCUAGCCUUAUCCUUAUUGAGUGGGUUUAUAUAAAAUUGUUUGAUAAUUCAUAUUAGAAUAAGCUUAUUGGUCCGAGUGGUAAGGAGUUGGUGUAAUCACUGAAUUUUGUCCGAGAAUAAUUUUGUGUUUUUUUUUUAAAAUUAAUUAAAAAAUUAAUUUUUUUGCAUUUUGACCCCUAAACUUUUCUAAAAAUACAUAUUGACCCCUAAACUUUCUCAAAACUACAUUUCAACCCCUAAUCUUUUCUAAAUUAUAUUUUGACCCCUAAACUUUCUCAAAAUUACAUUCUGACCCUUAAACUUUCUCAAAAUUACACUUUGGCCCCAAAACUUUUUUUGCACUUACAUUUUGAUCCUUCUGGCAGCAACCAGCGUAACUUGCGCCUGUAAUAGUCGUCGGCCGACCUAGGCCCUUCCUAGUCCCUGCAACCUGCAAAAAAGGAAAAGAAAAAUCAAAAUAAAAGGGGUUUUAAACCCCCCAAAAAAGAAAAGCCAAGCAAGGAAGAAAAUAAAAAAAGCAAAAAUUUUUGAGAGAAAAAUCAAAGAAACAACAGCACACCGCAGGCCAUCGCACCAGCGCCACCGUGCCCGCCGCCGCAGCACUCCAAUCGUCGGCACCUACCAAAGCAAACAACAACCAAGAAGCAAAAAAAAAAUAGAGCAAGAAGCAAGCAACAAACAAAAAUAAAAGAGAAAGACAAAGGAAGAAAAAGAAAAAGAAGAAAAGGAAAAGGGGAGGAGAAGAGGAGAUCUCCACCGCGUGCUGCCGUCGACCGUCGCACCAGGCCGGGGGGAGCGCCGUCGAGGCUGAACGAGGGAGAAGAAAAAAGAAAGGAGAAAAAAAAAGAAGAAGAAAGAAGAAGGAAAAAGAAAGGGGGAAAGAAAAAGAAAAAAGAAAAAAAUAAAAAAUAAUUAAAUCAGUCGGGUCAAACCGACCCGACCCGCAACAGCUUGGCAGGCCAUAGCAGCCCAGCAACCCAAUAGAAAGAAAAAGCAGCAAAAAAAAUAGAAAAGAAAAAACAGGCCAGCCAGGCCCAAUCCCAAGUAGCAGCCCAACGCAGCAGACUAGGCCCAAACCAGCAGGCCAUCAGCAGCAGGCCUGCAACAGCCCAACAGGCCCCAAGCCCAACAGGUCGGCCCAGC
rnacentral:lncRNA from 1 species